AGACAGAGGUGGCAAGCGUUGUUCGGAUUUACUGGGCGUAAAGAGCAUGUAGGCGGUUAGAUUAGUCAGUUGUGAAAUCCUAUGGCUUAACCAUAGAAUUGCAUCUGAUACUGUCUAGCUAGAGUGCAGAAGAGGAGAGUGGAAUUUCCAGUGUAGCGGUGAAAUGCGUAGAUAUUGGAAGGAACACCGGUGGCGAAGGCGGCUCUCUGGUCUGUAACUGACGCUGAGAUGCGAAAGCGUGGGUAGCAAACAGGAUUAGAAACCCCUGUAGUCC
rnacentral:rRNA from 1 species